GGUAUUUCUCUCAGAGAGGAGUUGGGGGGUCAGUCUCCCCCGAGGGCAUUUGCAUCCUGAAGUGACUGAUUCCACUUGGGUCUGGUCUCAGCCAAGAGGCGUUUGAGAGCACCCUGCAUUAACAUAUAUGCGUGUUCAGUCAGGUUUGAGCUGCCAAUUUGCACGUUCAUGCGACAAAGGAUGGAGAAAGACUUCACGCUGAGGGCUGCCGAGCACCUGCCCAGUUUCAGUCUUUGAAUUUCCUCCAGGUCCAUCCAGCUGGCUGUGCAGGUAGCACUGGCUAACACCAGAUACCUCAGCAGUCCUCUCCAGAAUCGAUGCAAUGGUGUGUGCUCAGGCAUCUGGUUGGAGUGAAAUGAACUUCUCUUCAUGAAGAAGCCAUUGAAGAAGCCUCACUGCCUGCAGUUUACAGCCUGUAUUGGAGAGCAAGAAUGUGCUCAGUCCCGAACACUGCAGGAAGAGAGCAUGCUUUCUGAGCAUGCUGGUGUAACCUUUGGAGAAGUCAUACACUAUCAUCACUCUUCCUCUCCACCCACCGAGCUACAGCUGAGGUGACAUGGGAUCGGAUGAUUUGGAGAAGAACCUCAGGGCAGGGCUGCCUGAAAUAUCCAGGAACAUUGACCCUGGGAUAUGUGUGGCAGCAGCCCCAGUUGUCUCCUGUGGCCGUGAGUAUGGUAAUUGUACACUGUGAACAUGCACCCUCUUCUCCGAGGAAUUUGAAGUUAAGCAAUUUUUUACCUCUGACUGGGAUUUCAGAGGCUCUUACUGCUCAGGCAGAGUAAAAACUUCAGCUACGUUCCCUGCACGUGCCCAGGUAAGUUAUAGAACACAUGAGGUGUGUCCAGCACUUCCAGGAGCCAUUGGACUUUGGCCUCUGGCCUCUACACUGGAGAGAUGGUAUAUAUAUGCACAAUAAAUGCUAUGUGUUUCCAUGCACAGACCAUCUGUGAAACGUAGGCAUAGGAUGUCUAAUGCUUCCUGAAAACCUGGGACAGAAAUAUGGCAACCCUAUGGCUGAUGCUCUGCAAUGUGACUGAGACCAUAAUUUUCAAAGGACUUUGGACUUCCAGCUGCUGCUGAUUACAGCAUUUUUCAAGAGCAGAUGUUGAGCAUGGCUGGGACUCCAAGAUGGGUGUAUUUGGUAGGACAGAUGUUGCAUGUGAAACUCCUGAGUACAGCAAGAAAAGGUGACAAAGCUUUUCAUUGUGAGGUUCUUCGAAGAAUAUGGUACAAGAUGGAAAGCUACACAGUGCAGCUGGGGUCAGGGGUAUAUUUCAGUCUUACUUCAAUGUGAUGGAAGUGCUGUGUGACUCUUUUAAUCAAACUCUCUAGAGGAAAAAAAGUGCACCUACUGAUACUGAUGGCUGUUUUAUUUAUUCACUUAUUAAGCACCCUUGAAAUUAGAGUCUAUUGUAAAAGUA